ensembl:snoRNA
UUGUGAUGAAAACUAAACUGAAUAGCUGGAAUUACCGUCAGAUUGUACAGUGGUGAAUCUUGGUUUUCUGAAC